CUCCGUCAAAAAGAUCGCUCUCUCAUAAAAUAGGUAAGCUUUCAUUAGGAAAGCCGAGGUAAGCUUUCAUUAGGAAAGCCGAGGUAGGCUCGUCUUGAUAAAGAGGGCUGAGGAAAUAAAAUAGUUUCGUCUUAAA